CAGCUGCCAUGCCAUAAAGACAUUCAGGCAGCUGAUGGAGAUACUGACCUGAUGUUGAGCUAUGGCUUCCUACCAUUAACAAGCAUUAACCUGACAAGGAUGUGAGUGAGACACCUUGGAAGUCCAUCCUCCAGUCCCAGUCAAGUCUUUAGAUGACUACAGCCUCAGCUGAGAAUCUGAGCAUAAUAUCAUGAGAGUCUUGAAGCUAGAAAUACUCAGCCAAGCUGCUUCUGAAUUCCUAACUCACAAAAACUGUAAGAGAUAAUACAUGUUUCUUGUUUUAAGCCACUAUAUUUUAAGCUAAGUUUAAUCAACAAAAUACUAAGUUGUUAUACGGAAAUAGAUAACUAACAUAGCAGAAGAAAAAUUUAGUAAUGUAUUUAUGAUUUUAUUGAAGAUAAUGUGAUUCUAGAGUGACAGAGAAUAGUAGAGACCCUUAGUUUGCAGAGGCAAGUAAUAGUGACAUUGGGGACAAGAAGGAUUAAG
rnacentral:lncRNA from 1 species